UACGUAGGGUCCGAGCGUUGUCCGGAAUUACUGGGCGUAAAGAGCUCGUAGGUGGUUUGUCGCGUUGUUCGUGAAAACUCACAGCUCAACUGUGGGCGUGCGGGCGAUACGGGCAGACUAGAGUACUGCAGGGGAGACUGGAAUUCCUGGUGUAGCGGUGGAAUGCGCAGAUAUCAGGAGGAACACCGGUGGCGAAGGCGGCCUGCUGGGCAGUUGCUGACACUGAGGCGCGACAGCGUGGGGAGCAAACAGG
rnacentral:rRNA from 1 species